UNGGNUUUCUNGAGCNUGAGACUCAUCAACCCUGUGACAUACCUAAAACGUUGCCUCGGCGGGAACAGACGGCCCCGUAACACGGGCCGCCCCCGCCAGAGGACCCCCUAACUCUGUUUCUAUAAUGUUUCUUCUGAGUAAACAAGCAAAUAAAUUAAAACUUUCAACAACGGAUCUCUUGGCUCUGGCAUCGAUGAAGAACGCAGCGAAAUGCGAUAAGUAAUGUGAAUUGCAGAAUUCAGUGAAUCAUCGAAUCUUUGAACGCACAUUGCGCCCGCCAGUAUUCUGGCGGGCAUGCCUGUUCGAGCGUCAUUACAACCCUCAGGCCCCCGGGCCUGGCGUUGGGGAUCGGCGGAAGCCCCCUGCGGGCACAACGCCGUCCCCCAAAUACAGUGGCGGUCCCGCCGCAGCUUCCAUUGCGUAGUAGCUAACACCUCGCAACUGGAGAGCGGCGCGGCCACGCCGUAAAACACCCAACUUCUGAAUGUUGACCUCGAAUCAGGUAGGAAUACCCGCUGAACUUAAGCAUAUCAAAAGCCGNGAGGAA
rnacentral:rRNA from 1 species